UGGCUCAGAGCGAACGCUGGCGGCAGGCCUAAUACAUGCAAGUCGAACGGCUCUUCGGAGCAGUGGCGGACGGGUGAGUAACGCGUGGGAAUAUGCCCUUUGGUACGGAACAACUGAGGGAAACUUCAGCUAAUACCGUAUGUGCCCUUCGGGGGAAAGAUUUAUCGCCAUUGGAGUAGCCCGCGUUGGAUUAGCUAGUUGGUGAGGUAAAGGCUCACCAAGGCUACGAUCCAUAGCUGGUCUGAGAGGAUGAUCAGCCACACUGGGACUGAGACACGGCCCAGACUCCUACGGGAGGCAGCAGUAGGGAAUCUUGCGCAAUGGGCGAAAGCCUGACGCAGCCAUGCCGCGUGAAUGAUGAAGGUCUUAGGAUUGUAAAAUUCUUUCACCGGGGAAGAUAAUGACGGUACCCGGAGAAGAAGCCCCGGCUAACUCG
rnacentral:rRNA from 1 species